rnacentral:rRNA from 1 species
UCCUACGGGAGGCAGCAGUGGGGAAUAUUGCGCAAUGGGGGAAACCCUGACGCAGCAACGCCGCGUGGGUGAUGAAGGUCUUCGGAUUGUAAAGCCCUGUUUUCUGGGACGAUAAUGACGGUACCAGAGGAGGAAGCCACGGCUAACUACGUGCCAGCAGCCGCGGUAAUA